AUUGAACGCUGGCGGCAGGCCUAACACAUGCAAGUCGAACGAGAGGAGGACGGGUGGGUAAUGUCUGGGAAACUGACUGAAGGAGGGGGAUGAGUACGGGAAAAGGUGGCUAAUACCGCAUACCAUCAGAUGUGCCCACAUGGGAUUAGCGAGUUGGGGGGGUAACGGCUCACCAAGGCGACGAUCCCUAGCUGGUCUGAGAGGAUGAAGAGCCAAACGGGAACUGAGACACGGCCCAGACUCCUACGGGAGGCAGCAGUGGGGAAUAUUGCACAAUGGGCGAAAGCCUGAUGCAGCCAUGCCGCGUGUAUGAAGAAGGUCGUCGGGUUGUAAAGUACUUUCAGCGGUGAGGCGUUACCCGAAGAAGAAGCACCGGCUAACUCCGUGCCAGCAGCCGCGGUAAUAC
rnacentral:rRNA from 1 species